CGCCUCUUGCAUUCCAAAGUAUAAGAGGUCCCACCUGCCCUGUGACUCUAAGUUUAACGGCCGCGGUAUUCUAACCGUGCGAAGGUAGCGCAAUCAAUUGCCUUUUAAAUGAAGGCCUGUAUGAAUGGUAUAACGAGGGUCUAGCUGUCUCUUUUUUCUAGUCAGUUAAACUGAUCUGUCCGUGCAGAAGCGGACAUUAAUAUACAAGACGAGAAGACCCUAUGGAGCUUUAGACACUAGCCAACUGUGAAUAAGCGACUGAACUGAGCAAGUCCUAAAUACCCGCAGCCUUGUGGUAAUGUAGUCUUAGGUUGGGGCGACCACGGGAGAAAGUAAAGCUCCCAAGCAGACCGGGAAAACCCUUAAGCCGAGAGUUGCAACUCUAAGCCGCAAAAUUUUUGACUGAAAUGAUCCGGUUGAAAAACCGAUUAACGAACCAAGUUACCCUAGGGAUAACAGCGCAAUCCUCUCCCAGAGUCCCUAUCGACGAGGGGGUUUACGACCUCGAUGUUGGAUCAGGACAUCCUAAUGGUGCAGCCGCUAUUAAGGGUUCGUUUGUUCAACGAUUAAAGUCCU
rnacentral:rRNA from 1 species